rnacentral:rRNA from 1 species
UACAGAGGGUGCGAGCGUUGUCCGGAAUCACUGGGCGUAAAGGGCGCGUAGGCGGCGCGGUAAGCGUGCGGUGAAAGCCCGGGGCUCAACCCCGGGUCGGCCGUGCGGACUGCCGGGCUGGAGCACUGUAGAGGCAGGUGGAAUUCCGGGUGUAGCGGUGGAAUGCGUAGAGAUCCGGAAGAACACCGGUGGCGAAAGCGGCCUGCUGGGCAGUAGCUGACGCUGAAGCGCGACAGCGUGGGGAGCAAACAGG